CCAGCACGUUUAAGAUGCGCAAUUGAAAGCACCAUUAGUUUAACAAGGUGCACAUAAACGCACCAUGGAGUCCCCUCGGAGCCCACAUGCUUUACCUUCAUUUUUGUUUCCAUAACUCACUCACUGG